AGCUAAUACCGCAUAACGUCGCAAGACCAAAGAGGGGGACCUUCGGGCCUCUUGCCAUCGGAUGUGCCCAGAUGGGAUUAGCUAGUAGGUGGGGUAACGGCUCACCUAGGCGACGAUCCCUAGCUGGUCUGAGAGGAUGACCAGCCACACUGGAACUGAGACACGGUCCAGACUCCUACGGGAGGCAGCAGUGGGGAAUAUUGCACAAUGGGCGCAAGCCUGAUGCAGCCAUGCCGCGUGUAUGAAGAAGGCCUUCGGGUUGUAAAGUACUUUCAGCGAGGAGGAAGGCAUUAAGGUUAAUAACCUUGGUGAUUGACGUUACUCGCAGAAGAAGCACCGGCUAACUCCGUGCCAGCAGCCGCGGUAAUACGGAGGGUGCAAGCGUUAAUCGGAAUUACUGGGCGUAAAGCGCACGCAGGCGGUCUGUCAAGUCGGAUGUGAAAUCCCCGGGCUCAACCUGGGAACUGCAUCCGAAACUGGCAGGCUAGAGUCUUGUAGAGGGGGGUAGAAUUCCAGGUGUAGCGGUGAAAUGCGUAGAGAU
rnacentral:rRNA from 1 species